CGCGGUAUUUUGACCGUGCUAAGGUAGCAUAAUCAUUAGUCUCUUAAUUAGAGGCUCGUAUGAAUGGUUGGACGAGAAAAUUACUGUCUCUGAAUUGAAUGUUGAAGUUUACUUUUAAGUGAAAAGGCUUAAAUGUGUUUAAAGGACGAUCAGACCCUAUAGAGCUUUAUUUUAGAGAUUUAUAGAGAUUUUGGGUAAAAUUUUUGUAGAUUAAAGGAUUUUUAUUGGGGCGAUAUAGAGUUACAAAUAACACUCUUUAAAAUUAACAUAAAUAGAUGGAUUGUUGAUCCUUUAUGAAGGAUUAAAAGUUUAAGUUACCUUAGGGAUAACAGCGUAAUCUUUUUGGAGAGUUCUAAUCGAUGAAAAGGUUUGCGACCUCGAUGUU
rnacentral:rRNA from 1 species